rnacentral:rRNA from 1 species
CCUACGGGAGGCAGCAGUGGGGAAUAUUGGACAAUGGGGGCAACCCUGAUCCAGCCAUGCCGCGUGUGUGAAGAAGGCCCUCGGGUUGUAAAGCACUUUCAGUGAGGAAGAACGCCUGGUGGUUAAUACCCAUCAGGAAAGACAUCACUCACAGAAGAAGCACCGGCUAACUCCGUGCCAGCAGCCGCGGUAAUACGGAGGGUGCGAGCGUUAAUCGGAAUUACUGGGCGUAAAGCGCGCGUAGGUGGCUUGAUAAGCCGGUUGUGAAAGCCCCGGGCUCAACCUGGGAACGGCAUCCGGAACUGUCAAGCUAGGGUGCAGGAGAAGAAGGUAGAAUUCCCGGUGUAGCGGUGAAAUGCGUAGAGAUCGGGAGGAAUACCAGUGGCGAAGGCGGCCUUCUGGACUGACACUGACACUGAGGUGCGAAAGCGUGGGUAGCAAACAGGAUUAGAUACCCUAGUAGUC